CUCCACUUCUUCCUUACAUAGUGGUUCUAGGCCCAUCCAUUCAUAAUGGCUCCUGUUCUUCCCUGGGAGAGUGUGCAGCAUUCUUUGCAGACCUGCAGUACAGCCUCUGCCAUGUCCCACUUCUCUGGUUUCUGAGCUGCCUGUUCUACCCGCUGAUCAACAUGUUGACUCUUACACGAAAACAACACUCUCCUAAUUGCCAUAACUGUCAAGGUUUUAACAUCAAAUGGGAAAUUUACCUGAUUUGUUCUUUAUGAAGCCUACUGGGAAGAUAACUCAGUAGCAGGCCGUUAAAGACAGGUUCCUAGAAGGCCAGAGGGAAGAAGGCAGAAGCACGUUACUGUCGUUGCUGUUGACGCUGGACCAGGCACUGACCAAGCACUGGCCUUUGUACAGCGAACCUAAAUCAUCUUUCUCGUUUGUUGAGAUUGUUACUUAUUCAGUGAAAUUUUGGUGAGUGAGGCCAGACAAGAGAGGGCCCAAGUCUGUGCUUGUCCAAGUCCAAACAGCUGCUGGUGACGACCGGUGACGACCCUGAAGAGGCAGCAGUGUGGCUGUUUUCUUCGAGGCUGGCGACAGCAUGGCCUUUGUCCGAACAAACCUCAGCUGACUUCGAAGCGGGCUCGUGAGAGGCUCGCACCACCCCCAGGAACACCCUACAGACAAUCCUGGAUCAAAAGGAAGUUUUGCAACAGGUGGGCUCUCCCCUGCACGUUCCCAGGGACCGUCCAGCCAGACUGUGAAUCAGACACAGUUUAGGGCUGGAUGCGCAUGUGUUAAGCCAGCGGCCCUGCACGGCAGUGCAGGUAUUCGAAGCUGAGCCAGGCACAGGCUCUUCCCGUCAUGUCUGGCUGGCCUCAAGUUGUUGCCUGAAGGUGGAUUGCGGAACCUCUGAUGUACUGCCAGAGGGGUCACUGGAGGGUUGUGUUUUUGCUCAAAGGUACUGACGUCCUCUUGUCUCUGUCCAUAAGUCAUAGCUCUGAAAUGCAGGUACUGGCAGAAACGUCUCCAGCUGCCCAGGGCUUCCUGUGACAAGUCCCUCAGAUCCUCUGCCAUCUAGCUAAUAAUACGUGGGGACGCUGCACGCGCGCAUGCUUGUGUGUGUUUGUGUGCGCUGAAAUACUGAGUGUGACACUAACAGUGGAAACCAGAAACGUCAGAGAUUUUGUUAGAAAGUCACAGGGGCAGCUUGACCCCAGUGGACCCCGCUUCCACGCGAGCGCUCCGUGGGUCUGCCCCCACCCCAGAUCCUAUUGGCUAGCACAAGAAAUGGCAGGACAGAGGCAAGAACAAGCUUCAGAUUCUGCAUGCAGGUCUUCCACUUGGGCAUAAGUAAAAGUAAAAUUUUAGUCUGACCCGGGGAUUUAACUACCCCGCCUAGAGAAGGCAUCUUUUAAAAAUUGGUCAGUCAAGAGGAAAUGCAGCUUCACAAAGGACCAGUGAUUUGUAUGGGAGCUCCCUUCCCUUUCAGGGGCGCUCUGUGUGCAGAGCAUGGGCACCCCCUUUCCUGUUAGGGACGUUCUGUGUGUGGAGAGCGGGUGCCCCUUCCAUUAGGGCGCUCUGUGUACAGAUACAGUUGUGCUGUUACUUUUAAGCCUCGGUGACCAACCCCGUGACUUUCUUGGUGAUGGGAGACACACACCAGCUUGUUGAACCUAUUCUCUGAGAUAUUCACACACGCGUGCAAUGCGCCUGAUCUUAUUCAUUUCCUGUUCCCUUUCUCCAGUCCCCGCCUCCAGCUCCUCGCCAACACAUCUCCAACUUAAACUUACGUUUUUAGUGACCCGUUGAGUCCAGUUAAUGCCACCUGCAUGUGUGCAAGUGUGGGGCCGUCCACUGGGACCUGGGGGACCUGCCAGUCACCGUCCCCAGAGAAAAGCGACCCCUCCCCAGCAGCUCUUUAGCAAUUAUGCCGCAUCCACCUUUAAAUACUGGGCAUUCAUCACAGGCUCUGGCCUCUCUCUUAGCUUUUGACACAGAAGAACCUUUGGAGUCCCUGGAGGCAAAUUUUAAUUUGUAUCAAGUGUUCAAAAAGAGACUGCCCUGCAGGCAGACAGGUGUUUCCUAACACAGGUGAGGCAGGGCUGGUGGUGGGAGCAAAGCAGUUUGUGGUUCUCAGGAGAGGCUGUAUUUCUUCAUAGGUACAGGCCAAGAGGUGAAACUGUUCUCUUUCUUUAUUUUCUAGUGUUUAACUAAAAUACCAACGCUUUGUGUCUGUGGGCAAAUCAUAGGGCCACUUGUUUUCUGUGCCAUCUAACUUUGCUCAGGGUGACUACAAGUCAUGCAGACAUGGGAUAGCUCUGGCUUUUCCUUGCUUUCCUAGAGAAAUCCCCCCUAAACAGAGAUGUUUCAAAAGCACCAACACUGUAUUACUAAGAGAGAUUUAUUUUCUUUUUUCUAUUUAUGUAACUUUUUU